rnacentral:rRNA from 1 species
UGCUACGGUCAUACCACCACGAAAGCACCCGAUCCCAUCAGAACUCGGAAGUUAAACGUGGUUGGGCUCGAUUAGUACUGGGUUGAGGGAUCACCUGGGAACCCCGAGUGCCGUAGUGUUUUCAUAUUGCUGGCUAGUAC